rnacentral:rRNA from 1 species
UACGUAGGUGGCAAGCGUUGUCCGGAUUUACUGGGUGUAAAGGGCGUGUAGCCGGGCUUACAAGUCAGAUGUGAAAUCCGGGGGCUCAACCCCCGAACUGCAUUUGAAACUGUAGGUCUUGAGUAUCGGAGAGGCAGGCGGAAUUCCUAGUGUAGCGGUGGAAUGCGUAGAUAUUAGGAGGAACACCAGUGGCGAAGGCGGCCUGCUGGACGACAACUGACGGUGAGGCGCGAAAGCGUGGGGAGCAAACAGG